GCGGCAGCUGACUAAGCAUAGCUCGCCUCGGAAAGGGCGGGACCAGAGCGUCUCAGAACCGUUAAGCCGCUCACACUGGAGGAAGAGCUAACUGGACAGUCACACAAGCCAAUCGCAGCCAGAAUUUGCAGGCUGGGCCUGGGUGGAGUUGCAGGUGCAGUUCUAAGAACAGGUGGAAUUGGCUAUGGAUAAGUCAUACAAUUUAAAUGAACAAAGCUCAUGGAAUGGUAUCUCAUCUGAAAAGAAAAAGAAUUUCCUUGCAUCAGAAGAUCAUGGACAGAAAAUCUUAAGUGUACUACAAAGUUUUAGAGAACAGAAUGUCUUUUAUGACUUCAAAAUAAUCAUGAAAGAAGAAAUAAUCCCAUGUCAUCGUUGUGUGUUGGCAGCAUGCAGUGACUUUUUCAGGGCUAUGUUUGAAGUAAACAUGAAAGAAAGAGAUGACGGAAGUGUUACCAUUACUAACUUGUCCUCCAAAGCUGUAAAAGCAUUUCUUGACUAUGCCUAUACCGGAAAAACAAGAAUAACAGAUGAUAACGUGGAAAUGUUCUUCCAGUUGUCAUCCUUUCUUCAAGUUUCCUUCCUGUCCAAAGCUUGCAGUGACUUUUUAAUAAAAAGCAUCAGUCUGGUCAAUUGUUUGCAUUUGUUAUCUCUGUCAGACAGCUACGGCUCUGCCCAGUUGUUCAGUCACACUUUAUAUUUUGUGCAACAUCACUUUCAUUUGUUGUUCAAAUCCAGAGACUUUUUAGAGAUGAAUUUUGGAGUGCUGCAAAAGUGUCUGGAAUCAGAUGAAUUGAAUGUACCUGAAGAAGAAAUGGUCCUGAAGGCUGUCCUCACAUGGAUUAAAUACAAUGUAGAGUCCAGGCAAAAGCACCUGCCUCACUUGAUUGCAAAAGUAAGAUUACAUCAGUUAUCUGAGGCCUCACUUCAAGACUGUUUGCUCAAUGAAGAGUAUUUACUCAAAAGCACAAACUGUUUUGAGACAAUCGUGGAUGCUAUUAAACGUGUGCAAGGUUCUAGUGGCCUCUUUCCUGAUGCUCGACCAUCAACAACUGAAAAAUAUAUAUUCAUCCAUAAAACUGAGGAAAAUGGAGAAAAUCAAUAUACAUUUUGCUAUAAUAUUAAAACUGACUCCUGGAAAAUAUUGUCACAAUCACAUCUGAUUGAUUUGCCAGGAUCUAGUCUGUCUAGCUAUGGAGAGAAAAUAUUCUUGACAGGGGGUUGCAAAGGAAAGUGCUGUAGAAAGGUUCGACUUCAUAUUGCAGAGUCUUACCAUGAUGCCACUGACCAGACCUGGUGCUACUGUCCAAUAAAAAAUGAGUUUUUCUUCGUUUCAACCAUGAAAACCCCAAGAACCAUGCAUACAUCAGUCACGGCUCUCAAUCGAUUAUUUGUUAUAGGUGGAAAGACUAGAGGAUCCCAGGACAUUAAAAGUCUCUUAGAUGUUGAAUCUUAUGAUCCACUGUCCAAAGAGUGGACAUCAGUUAGCCCUUUACCCAGAGGCAUCUAUUACCCAGAAGCCAGUGCAUGCCAGAAUGUCAUUUAUGUCCUUGGAUCUGAGGUAGAGAUUGCCGAUGCUUUCAAUCCAUCACUUGAUUGCUUUUUUAAAUACAAUGCUACAACUGACCAGUGGUCUGAACUAGUAGCAGAGUUUGGGCAGUUUUUUCAUGCUACUUUAAUUAAAGCUGUCCCAGUAAACUGCACCCUUUAUAUAUGUGAUCUUUCCACCUAUAAGGUGUAUAGUUUUUGUCCUGAUACUUGUGUUUGGAAAGGAGAAGGCUCUUUUGAGUGUGCAGGCUUUAAUGCAGGUGCAAUUGGGAUUGAGGAUAAGAUUUACAUAUUAGGUGGAGACUAUGCACCAGAUGAGAUCACAGAUGAGGUGCAGGUCUACCACAGUAGUAGGUCAGAGUGGGAAGAGGUGUCACCAAUGCCAAGAGCUUUAACUGAAUUUUACUGUCAGAUCAUUCAGUUCAACAAAUACAGGGACCCAUGGUAUUCUAAUCAUUUCUAAAAGUAAUAUUUGCAUGAGUGCUCUAAAAUUAUGCCUGGUACAAUUGGUUAAAAUUAUAUUAUUAUAUCUUAGCACAAUAAAAUGCUCCUUCUAUUAAAGAACAACUAUCGAUAUAUGCUGUCCCAGAAGUUUAAAAUAUGAAAUACAUUUUGCCAACAUUUUAUUGAAUAUAAAUUCAUCUUGAAUAAUCCAGAACAUGUAAUAUUUUCUUGUGUAGAUAAAAAUUACAGAUUUAUGCCUGUUAAAUCUAUAAAAGGAUGGAAAAUAUUAGUGUUCACAAAUGUGUACUUUAUAGAAGGAAAAAUUUUUCUGAAGUGAAAGUUGCUUAUAUACUGCAUAUUAUAUGACAUGAAGAUAAAUUAGAAAUAGAUGAGAAAUUCACAUUGUACACCGUAGGUGUAAGAAUUGAAUUCCUACUGUUUUCUGCUUGCUGGUUAAAUGGUUUCACUUCACCUUUGUGUGGCUAGAAAUUUGCCAAAAUACACUUUUUCAUCCUUCUGGUCAACACACCAAGAAUAGUUUGGCUUUACUAUUAUUGUGUAUAAUAUUAUGUACAUGCACUAUAUCUUUUUUACUAAGAAGGUAUUGGAGCACAUUAAAUUGCUAAGUUGCAGCU
rnacentral:lncRNA from 1 species